UCAUGACAAGUGGUAAACAGCCAAGCCCCGUUCGAGAUCGGUGGGUGCUCACUGGAUGCCGUUUAGGAAGUCAGUGAGUAUAAGGCUGGCCUUUCAGCCCGUGGAAUGCUUGCAUGCCUGGAACUCGCUGCGCAGGAUCUUUUUUAACCUUCCCGACGCUGCUGUGGGAGAUGGGAUGAGUUCGCGUUUGGAGACAUGGAAAAGGAGCUCAGAUGACUUGCCCUGAGCUUCAGCCAGCAUGGGUGGUGCUGGGCAAGCCAGGCACACUGAUUUCCUUUACGAACCGGACUUCAGUGUCACAGAACAGAUGAGAAAAGGUUUAUCGCUAACGCGCGAGCGAGGAUUGAGACAGUGUCGCCUGCUUUGCAGGUCCUAUGGAAGGAGCACCAGGCAACCAGCAUCUGUGGCUUCUGACGCGUUAGACUCCACCACACCUCAGGCACCUCCCAACCCCACCAUCAAGAGUAGACCUUGUUUACUUGGGCUUAAUGGAAGCAUCUAGAUCUGAAGGAAGCUUAGACAUAAUGAGCACAGUCCAGACUGGGAGGUUGCACAGGACAAUCUAGCUUCUUAUACAGAAAAAAAAAUUUCAAGGAAAAGAGGGAUAUGUAAAUUAAAAGACAGCAGAGAGGAAGGUUAAGCAACGGCAACAUGUAAGUUUGAUUUGGCUGUGGAUGCAAACAAGCAAACCGUUUUUAUUUAUUUUUUUCAGGGUGAGGUUUUAUUUUUUUAUUAUUUUUUAAAAAAACUUUUUAUUGAUUCUUAGUGGAUUUCACGUUACACGCCUCAAUCCCACUCAUCUCCCUGUCCCUUCGCGUGUCAGUCCUCCGUUCUUUGCAACCCCCACAAAAGAAAACAAAAAAUAAACAAAUCUGGCUGUGGAAGCUGCGGCUUUUCUUGGUGUGUCACGCAGCAAACCCCAAACACCGUUUCUUGCAAAUGCAUCCAACGACUGCAAUGAACAUUUGCAAACCGCUCUUUGGAGGCUCCUGGAAUGUGCUUUCCGUCCAGCCAAGCCGCCGCCCUUCGCAUCCUGUGAGCUGUGCCUACUUUUGAGAGUCUGUCAACGUCCAGCCUGUGAACUAUCGGCACCCCUCCUCUUAGAAAGGGAGGGUCAUUGACCCCCCCCACACCUGAGCAUCCAGCAACUUGUCCCAUUUGCAUCCAGUUCCACCCUCACUGCAGCCGGCCUCUGACGUCUCUAGGAAUACAGAAGGGAGCCAACUCCACUGAUGAGGCAGCGAGAAGCCAUCAUCCCUGCUAGGCGAAAGCUUUCAGGUGCCACUGUUUGGAGUCACCCAUGACCCUAUAAAUAAGCCCAAGAAACCCACUGGCCUUCCCGGAAGUCUGAAGGUGGAAUCAUACUUUGUCCACGAGAUACAAUGUUCUGCCUGCACACCAGAAGAAGGCACAGAUCUCAUUAUAGAUGGUUGAGAGCCACCAUGUGGUUUCUGGAGAUUGAACUCAGGACCUCUGGAAAAGCAGCCAGUGCUCUUAACCAUCCGAGCCACCUCUCCAGCCCAAGUUGCUGACUUGUUAAUUAUCAUCUCGAGAAGAAAUUUCCUCAUGAACUACACGGUUACCGAGAAAUACGCUCUGUCCAGGAAGAGGUCACACGACAAGAUGGAAAACGCAUCAGUUAAUUCUCCAGUAAGCUAGAGAUGCAUCUCACUGUCUCUGAAACAGCCCUUCAGACAUCAAUCAGAUGGAAUCGUCUCCCUGCCUAGAAAGCCUUCCCACAGCUUCCAUGCGACCUGGAAGCUAGCAUCCUUCUAGCAACAGCCACCUGAGCUGCCCCCGGAGGCUCCAGUUUCGCUCCUGCCGCCCACCACUGCCUGGCAGCGAGCCAGCGAGCCAGCGGUCCUGUUUUUCCGGAGACUUGCCAAGCUUGUUCUGGCCUGCAGGCCUGUGCACUUGCCUCUCCUCUGCGGAAGAUGCCAUAAUUGUUUUUCACAACAUUCAAUACCUUUCAAAUGUUCCUAUGUCUUUCUCCACUCAGGCCUACUGGCUUGUCCCCUCCUCUGAUGGUCGGGGACAGCUACAUCGUCUGAAGUGUCAAGUGUAAGGCGGGUCUCCUGUUCAACAAGCAGGAAGAAAGCUUUUCUCUUUCUCUGUCGUCUCUCUUGUCCUCUUAGUCACGGUGUGUUUUAUUUGCCGAUUGACACCAUGUUCCUUUGGGUACAGGGGUUCCCCUGGGUUCAGUGUAAGCCUCCAGAGGGGCCCCACCUUAACCCUCCAGUGCCAGUGCUCGUGCCUAGACCCGGGGGCCUGAAGGCAGCAGUAUUGCUUCAGGGAUGUGGGAGAUGGCAGUUAAGAAUCUGAGGGAGGCUGACAAGAUGGCUUGGAGGGUAAAGGUACCCACCACCAAGACUGAUGCUCUGAGUUCUAACCCGGGGAUCCACAUGAUGAACGGAAAGAACCGACUCCUGCAUAUUUAUCCUGUGACUAUCGCACAGACUAAAGACUCUGGAGGUAAGGACUCAAAUGAGGUCCAGGCUGCAAAUUGCAUCGAGAGACAGGAUAAAUCAGUCUUGGUCAAGGCAGAGGAGCGCUUCCUUCUCUCACAGGCAGAUUCAAUAGAGACAAAUGGCGGGGCUGGAAACAGACGCUCUGCUCCGCUGGCCAGGCAUCGUCACGGUCCGCCCUAGCAGAAGAGCGACCUUCCUUUGGUGAUGGUUAUUUCUGCAGGUCUUUUGUGUUUUAAUCUAUCGAUUCUCUAUUUAGCAAUAAUGGAACACAGUACUGAUAAAUAAUGCAUGUCAGCAGCAUAUCUAGAACAGAGGCUAAUGCUUCCUUGAGGGUUGGGUAGCCUCUUGGUUUUUUGUUUUGUUUUGUUUUUUAAUAAGUAAAUCAAGCAGUGUUUCAUCGUAACAAAGGCUAACCGCCCCCACUCCUAUUCUCUAAGACCAACUGCUGUGAAUACUGCUGACACCAUUGUCCCUGAGUCUUCUCUGCCAUUUCCUUUGCCAAUCUCACCUCUGCCGUGCCUCCCUAGUGUGACAUUAAUCAAGCAGGUCUUGCCAAGUGGCUUUGUGGAGAAACCACAUCCCCCGAGAUGUAAUUUAUGGCCUUAAUGCUGUUAACCGUGUGGCAUCCUUCACAUGGCAACUGAUUAGGCAUUAGCCAUAAAGCAGAUUUAUAUGUACCUCUCUAGAAGGAAUAUGCAUGUCCAUAUACAUAUGUAUGAACGGGACAGCUCGUUCUCCCUUGAGCAGUGGUCUCAUCAAAGGAGGUUGUGUUCUCUUUCCUCCUUGAAGAGACAUAAGUGACUUUCCUCCCUUCUAAAGGGCUCAUUUAACAGUUUCCCUCUGCCUCCGUAUCUGAGUGAUGGAGGCAGAGCUAAAGCGAGCCAGCGCCUUGGAAGGGGUGGCGGCUGGUGACGGGCAUAUUGAAUCGAAGCUCGUAUCAUCCUGUCUCAUGACCUGGAAGACUGCAAUAUAGAUCAUUAGCCCUGUGUCCCUGAAGGUGACAGCAGAGCCAGCUCACAAGACCGUAAUACAAUUUGGGCUAGAACAGGAUCCGAAAUGAAAAGUACUGAUGUGAAAAGAGGUGACAUUGAGCCCUGAUUGAAACUCUAGUUCAGGCUUAAGGGCCUGUCCUCUCCAGGCUGGAGCUGCAGAAUGUCGGUUGACGGCUCUCCGGGGCACCAUUCUACGGGUGCAGAGCACAGGCGGCUCCUCCAGGGCUCUUCAACUUCAUCGGCACGUACUCAUUUUCACAGUUUCUCUGCUCCCGCCGGCCUUUGAUCACCGGGGAGCAGUGGGCCUCGAAACGUCAUUUCCUUGAAGCCCGGUGCGGUGCCUGGCACACGGGAGUUGAGAUGCACGCUGCAUGCUUUAUUGAUGAGCAGAUGAAGAGUUGUGGAAGGGCUUCCUCGGAGACGCAGCCUCCUUUUUAAAAUUUUCCCUCAUUAAAAUGUGGGAAAGAGGCACGGAAGAAAUGCCCUUGGCCACGAUAGAAUCAGCAUUCCAAGGUAGGAUUGGAGCCUGAAAUUUCCUGCCGCCACCUCUUGUAAACCACACAUCUGUCUCCUGCCUUGAUGUCUUAGUGGAAGGACACGACGGGGCCAUCUUGUUGCUUACGUCAAUGGAGCUGUCUCAGAACUACCUGUCACCUUUCCAGCUCUUCACUAUUAAUUCUGCAUGUCCUUAUGACAUGAUUUCUUUCACCUCAGCAAUCAAGAGCUACUGGGAGGAGUGAACAAAACGCCCCGAUCUCACGAUGCCACUUCGCUCCCUUGUAAAUCCCCUUGGAGUCUAUUCUUAGACAAACUGUCCGUUCAGGAAUCCAAGGUAAGCCAGAUUUAUCUGGCAACAUCCCCAAAGAGUUCUCCUUUCCAUAUGUCCGGACAGAAAGUUAAGCAGUAAUUCAAAGAUAGAAAGGGGUCAGCAAUAACCAUUUUCACAGCUACCAGGCAAAAAUCCCCCAUCAGGGUUGUCUGCAGCACAAUUUCCCAACCGUUUUUAAGGCUGGAAGAACCACUCAAAAUGUAUGGUUGAUGGGCAGCUGUCCCAGUCGGGUGAGACUCUUGCCAACAGAUAUCAGACUCUUAUUAGCAUCCUCUGUUCUAAAUUAGAGGAGAAGCUUAUCGUGAACUACAUCCUGGAGUCUUGGAAGAUGCGGGGGACUGGGUGGGGUACCGAGGCACAGCACUGUAAACACUAGGGGAGAGGUGACACCAUCUUUAAAGACCUUCUUCUCUAAGAAUGUACUGUUCUUUGAUGAGCUUGAUAGCUUUGGUGUAUUUGAAGGGAGGGUUACCACUGAGACAAAUAAGGACUUGAUGUCGAAGCCUGUCAUUGAGAUUUGGAGAUGCUCAAAGGUUUGCAUAAGUGCCAAUCACUUGACCCCGAAUCCAAACCAGACUCGGUAGGUUUAGGGGCGUAGGAGAUUUGGCCUAGAAAAAUCUCAAUUGGAGUUACUCCUGUUUGUCUGACUAAUCAACCUUGCUGAGCUGGGCUUCCUCCGUGGGAAAUACAGUGGCAAUAUUGGCCUUUUAUAAUUGGUGGGGAAAUAAAAUGAGAACAUUUUCUGCACUCUAGAAAAUUAUUUAUUUUAACUAAUUUUGGUUAUUAAUGUUAACGGCCAAUGUUUAUUAUGUCAUUACCAUAUCCCAGACACUGUUUGAGGAAUCUUUUAUGCCCAGGCUUAUAGAGUUUUGUCACCCCCAAAACUCUAUAAUUUUCUUUUAAAUGAGGAAACUGAGGUCUAAAAUCACCAAUUAAAGAGCUGAUUCGGCCAUGCUAUAUUGUCUCCCCCACCACUUUCAAAUUUGUAUUGUUUUAAAAUUGUACAGGUCUAAUAUCCACUUAUGAGCGAGUAUAUACCAUGUGUGUCUUUCUGCUUCUGGGAUACCUCACUCAGGAUGAUCUUUUCUAGAUCCUACCAUUUGCCUGCAAAUUUCAUGAUUUCCUUGUUUUUAAUUGCUGAGUAGUAUUCCAUUUUGUAAAUGUACCACAAUUUCUGUAUCCAUUCCUCAACUGAGAGGCAUCUGGGUUGUUUCCAGCUUUUAACUAUUACAAAUAAAACUUCUACGAAGAUGGUUGAGCAAAUGUCCUUGUUGUGUACUUGAGCAUCUUUUGGAUAUAAGCCUAGGAGUGGUAUAGCUGGAUCUUGAGGUAGCACUAUUCCUAAUUGUCUGAGAAAGUACC